GCCGUGGUAGCUCAGUUGGAAGGGGCUUCACCAUUAUUAAUGGUGAUGUAACAGGUUCAUAUCCUGCCUGUGGUA